UGCCAGCCGCCGCGGUAAUACGAAGGGUGCAAGCGUUGCUCGGAAUCACUGGGCGUAAAGCGGACGCAGGCGGAACGUUAAGUUGGAUGUGAAAGCCCCGGGCUCAACCUGGGAACUGCAUUCAAAACUGGCGUUCUUGAGUUCAAGAGAGGGUGGUGGAAUUCCUGGUGUAGAGGUGAAAUUCGUUGAUAUCAGGAGGAACACCGGCGGCGAAGGCGGCCACCUGGCUGGGCCAUUUUUGACGCUGAGAUGCGAAAGCUAGGGGAGCAAACAGGAUUAGAUA
rnacentral:rRNA from 1 species